rnacentral:rRNA from 1 species
UACGGGGGGUGCGAGCGUUGUUCGGAAUUAUUGGGCGUAAAGCGCGUGCAGGCGGUUUUGUAAGUCUGAUGUGAAAGCCCCGGGCUCAACCCGGGAAGCGCACUGGAUACUGCAAGACUUGAGUUCGGGAGAGGAGAGUGGAAUUCCUGGAGUAGGGGUGAAAUCCGUAGAUAUCAGGAAGAACACCGGUGGCGAAAGCGGCUCACUGGAUCUCUUCUGACGCUGAGGCACGAAAGCUAGGGUAGCAAACGGG